AAUAGAUACCCAGGUAGUCCACGCCCUAAACGAUGCUCACUAGGUGUUGGGGAAGCGAUUCCUUGGUACCGUAGCUAACGCGUGAAGUGAGCCGCCUGGGGAGUACGGCCGCAAGGUUAAAACUCAAAGGAAUUGACGGGGACCCGCACAAGCGGUGGAUGAUGUGGAUUAAUUCGAUGCAACGCGAACAACCUUACCUACCCUUGACAUGUCCGGAAGCCUGCUGAAAGGUGGGUGUGCUCGAAAGAGAACCGGAACACAGGUGCUGCAUGGCUGUCGUCAGCUCGUGUCGUGAGAUGUUGGGUUAAGUCCCGCAACGAGCGCAACCCUUGUCCCUAGUUGCUAAGCUGGGCACUUUGGAGAAACUGCCGGUGACAAGCCGGAGGAAGGUGGGGAUGACGUCAAGUCCUCAUGGCCCUUACGGGCUGGGCUACACACGUGCUACAAUGGCGGUGACAGUGGGAUGCGAAGGGGCGACCCGGAGCCGAUCCUGAAAAGCCGUCUCAGUUCGGAUUGCACUCUGCAACUCG
rnacentral:rRNA from 1 species